UACGUAGGGGGCAAGCGUUGUCCGGAUUUAUUGGGCGUAAAGAGCGUGUAGGCGGCUAGGUAGGUCCGUUGUGAAAACUCGAGGCUCAACCUCGAGACGUCGAUGGAAACCAUCUAGCUAGAGUCCGGAAGAGGAGAGUGGAAUUCCUGGUGUAGCGGUGAAAUGCGCAGAUAUCAGGAAGAACACCCGUGGCGAAGGCGGCUCUCUGGGACGGUACUGACGCUGAGGCGCGAAAGCCAGGGGAGCGAACGGG
rnacentral:rRNA from 1 species